rnacentral:rRNA from 1 species
GCAUGCCUUACACAUGCAAGUCGAACGGCAGCACGGGAGCAAUCCUGGUGGCGAGUGGCGAACGGGUGAGUAAUACAUUGGAACGUGCCCUGUCGUGGGGGAUAACUAGGCGAAAGAUUAGCUAAUACCGCAUACGACCUGAGGGUGAAAGCGGGGGACCGUAAGGCCUCGCGCGAUAGGAGCGGCCGAUGUCUGAUUAGCUAGUUGGUGGGGUAAAGGCCCACCAAGGCGACGAUCAGUAGCUGGUCUGAGAGGACGAUCAGCCACACUGGGACUGAGACACGGCCCAGACUCCUACGGGAGGCAGCAGUGGGGAAUUUUGGACAAUGGGGGCAACCCUGAUCCAGCAAUGCCGCGUGUGUGAAGAAGGCCUUCGGGUUGUAAAGCACUUUUGUCCGGAAAGAAAUCCCUUGCCCUAAUACGGCGGGGGGAUGACGGUACCGGAAGAAUAAGCACCGGCUAACUACGUGCCAGCAGCCGCGGUAAUACGUAGGGUGCGAGCGUUAAUCGGAAUUACUGGGCGUAAAGCGUGCGCAGGCGGUUUUGUAAGACAGGCGUGAAAUCCCCGAGCUCAACUUGGGAAUGGCGCUUGUGACUGCAAGGCUAGAGUAUGUCAAAGGGGGGUAGAAUUC